rnacentral:rRNA from 1 species
UAGGGAAUCUUCGGCAAUGGACGAAAGUCUGACCGAGCAACGCCGCGUGAGUGAAGAAGGUUUUCGGAUCGUAAAACUCUGUUGUUAGAGAAGAACAAGGACGUUAGUAACUGAACGUCCCCUGACGGUAUCUAACCAGAAAGCCACGGCUAACUACGUGCCAGCAGCCGCGGUAAUACGUAGGUGGCAAGCGUUGUCCGGAUUUAUUGGGCGUAAAGCGAGCGCAGGCGGUUUCUUAAGUCUGAUGUGAAAGCCCCCGGCUCAACCGGGGAGGGUCAUUGGAAACUGGGAGACUUGAGUGCAGAAGAGGAGAGUGGAAUUCCAGGUGUAGCGGUGAAAUGCGUAGGUAUAUGGAAGAACACCAGUGGCGAAGGCGGCUCUCUGGUCUGUAACUGACGCUGAGGCUCGAAAGCGUGGGGAGCAAACAGG